rnacentral:rRNA from 1 species
GACGAAGGGGGCUAGCGUUGUUCGGAAUUACUGGGCGUAAAGCGCGUGUAGGCGGUUGCCAUAGUCAGGUGUGAAAGCCUUGAGCUCAACUCAAGAAAUGCACUUGAUACUGGGCGACUAGAGGACCGGAGAGGAUAGUGGAAUUCCCAGUGUAGUGGUGAAAUACGUAGAGAUUGGGAAGAACACCAGUGGCGAAGGCGGCUCACUGGCCCGGUACUGACGCUGAGGUGCGAAAGCGUGGGGAGCAAACAGG